rnacentral:rRNA from 1 species
GAUGAACGCUGGCGGUAUGCUUAACACAUGCAAGUCGAACGGACUCUUCGGAGUUAGUGGCGGACGGGUGAGUAGCGCGUGAGAAUCUGGCUUUGGGUUCGGGACAACCACUGGAAACGGUGGCUAAUACCGGAUGUGCCGAGAGGUAAAAGAGAAAUUGCCUGAAGAUGAGCUCGCGUCUGAUUAGCUAGUUGGUGAGGUAAAGGCUCACCAAGGCAGCGAUCAGUAGCUGGUCUGAGAGGAUGACCAGCCACACUGGGACUGAGACACGGCCCAGACUCCUACGGGAGGCAGCAGUGGGGAAUUUUCCGCAAUGGGCGAAAGCCUGACGGAGCAAUACCGCGUGAGGGAAGAAGGCUCUUGGGUUGUAAACCUCUUUUCUUAGGGAAGAACAAAAUGACGGUACCUAAGGAAUCAGCAUCGGCUAACUCCGUG